rnacentral:lncRNA from 1 species
AGCAGCUGGGGCUGGUCUGAGCUGGUCUACACCAUGCUCAGCAGGUUGGAGUGUGUCAGACCUGGUUUUCAACCACCAGAACUACUUAUAUGUUCAACUUGAGAGCAUGUCUGGCAAGCUCUGAGAAGACGAGCUGGUUUCUCUGCCUGCCUUGUUAGGGCGUUUCCCAGGGCCAGGUGCCCACUCAUUUUCCUCUUACUCUGUGCCCCUAGGCGGCAGUGGUCUUGUACAAUCUCUCUCUGUAUUCUCAAGUCCCCAUCUGCGAGCAUGGCUACUGGAAAUAACUGCAGCUGUAUACUGACUUAAAGAUCCAAAAAUCCCAGGAAGGACCCCAGAGCUGUGAGCCAGAAGCCCAAGGCCCUCCCAGCCUGAAAGCCCCAGGCCAAGCCUGAACUAUAUGCAGUCAUCCCCAUGAGAAUAUAAACUCCAUGAGGGCAGCAACUUGGCUGGCCUGUGUGCCAGUGCUGGGGACAUCACUGAGAAAUGAAGGCCCAUUUGGCAGGCUAUUUUUGAGCAAGAUUCCUGAGGCCCAAUCGUUGGGUGAUGAGAUGGACCCGAGGUAUUUCACUCCAGCUCUCGAGCCAAAAGAACUGACCACGUCCUCACCACUGCUCUGCGCCAGAUUUCAUCCAAGCAAAGAGAGGAUCACAUGGAGAUGAAAACACCCCACUUCCUUCAUCUGGAUGACACCUUGUUUAGAAGCCCAUCACUCGGCCAGAGAAGAAAUAUUUAGAUUGAGAAACAGCUUUUUGUUGUGCCCUAAGCCCAUUCUACCUUUAUGAUUCAACUAAAAAUUUAUUUCCACUUAAAUAAAACCAGCAAUUCUGAGCUUCCCCUCCCGUCACAGGUUUCCUCCCAGAAAGUCUAUCAUGAAAAUACUGCUCAAAAAUCAUCUGUAAAAAGGUAUACAUUACACAUAGAAGCACGUAUGUAUGCACCGGUGGAAGUAUAUAUCCUCAUAUUUGGUGUUUGGUUUUUUUUUUUUUUUUGUAGAUUGAGACUGUGUCUCCCAGACUGGAAUGUAAUGACACAAUGUCAGCUCACUCCAACCUCCACCUCCCGGGUUUAAGUGAUUCUCCUGCCUCAGCCUCCCAAGUAGGUGGGAGUACAGGCGUGCACCACCAUGCCUGGCUAAUUUUUGGAUUUUUAGUAGAGAUGGGUUUUCCUCUUGUUGGCUAGGCUGGUCUCACACUCGACCUCAGGUGACCCAACCACCUUGGCCUCCCACAGUACUGGGAUUACAGGUAUAAGCCUCUGUGUCUGGCCCAUAUUUGCUAUUUCUAAAAUUAGAAAGGUAUUGUGUGGUACUCUUCCAUGCUUUAUCCUCUUAGUAAUAAUGUCAUGGAGAUUUUUUCCAUAUCACUACAUGCGGUAUGGAAGGUAUUCCCUUUACAUGUGAGUGUACAUCAGCCUCAGUAUUCUAGCCCAUAGGUUGGCAAACUUCCUAUAAAGGGUGAGACUAAACAUACUAGGCUCCAGGGAGGCAUUCCAUCUCAGUUACAACUCAACUUUGCCCUUAUAAUAAGAAGCUAUACAUGAAGUGUGAAUGACUGGGCAUGUUCCAAUAAAACUUUACUUAUAAAAAACAGGUGGAGGGUAAGAUUUGGCCUGUGGGCCAUCAUUUUCUGAUCUCUGUUCUAGUCUGAACCAUCUUUGGCUGUUUCACCACAGUCAUGCGGCCAAGGAGGCAAGGCCUGGCCACACAGGGCACAGAAGCCAUGAUGGGCCUUGUCUGCAAGUAGAAAUCACCUGCUAAUCACCAACAGGUCUCAAAGUAAAUGCUGGAACACACUUUGUAGGGUGACUCUCCUGGCCCCAAGCAGCAUCUGCGACAUCAAGAUGCCGGGCCUUGGGACUGCCUCAAGCUGGUUUCGGCAGCUAUGCUCUUUACAGAGCGUGUGGAGGGCAAGGACUCUGGAGUAGAAAAAGGUGCAGGUCUUAGGGCUGGGGUCCCAGGGUGGAAGCCCACUCCAUGCCUUACUGGCUAUUUGAGAUAGAGGAUGAAAAAUGGCAUGAACAUCUUUGUAUGUGUGAGGAUCUUCCUGUUGCCCACGCUGGAGUUCAAUGGUGCAAUCUUAGGUCACUGCAACCUCCACCUCCCAGGUUCAAGAGAUUCUCCUGCCUCAGCCUUCUGAGUAGCUGGGACUACAGGUGCACACCACCACCCAUGGCUAAUUUUUGUAUUUUUGGUAGACAUGGGGUUUUGUCAUAUUGACCAGGCUGGUUUCCAACUUCUGACCCUGAGUGAUCUACCACCUCAGCCUCCCAAAGUGCUGGGAUUACAGGGAUGAGCCACCAUGGCUGGCAGACACAAGCAUCGUGAGGGGUGCCUAGCCCCUGCAGACACUCCAUGAACAGCAAAUGUGAUAACUGCUAAAUCAAAACUACCCCAGAAUUUUCCAUCUGCUAUGUCCCCAAGAAAUGACACUGUAACAGGGAGCCGAACACUAUGAUGCCUGCCCAGCUGCAAGAGUGGACUCACCUAAGAUACUCCACAAGCUUUUUAUGCUGUUACAACGGACCCAAAGCACGGGAGAGCAGGGGCCUCACUUGUGCUGUUGCUUGAGAGUUCCCUAAAUGCCAGGCCAUAGCAGGUACUGAAGAAUACCUACAGCCCGAGUGAGUGCUGCUAUGUGUAGGGUUCAGGCCAAGGGCCCUGGCUGCAGAGCAGAGGAACUGAGAGCUAGACAGGGCUGGGCCUGCCAUAGGAAAACAACAGCCCAGCUAUGACCCAGCACUGUGGUGGCUGGGGGAUGAGAGAUGAGCUCAGCACAGAAAACACCUUGGAGCCCUGGAUGUACCCCUCCUACACCAGUACAAUGCCCUGCAGUGCUCUGGGCUUUAAACUUCACUUCUUGCUGAGUUGACACCAAAUGAGGCCCCUGAAGAGCCUCUUCUGCUGUGGGGCUUGGACAGAGUACCCGGGCCUGGAGUGGGACUUACAGGGAAGCCAGCAUCAUAGAAAAUCCCUAGAGGGAAUUCCCAGAAGGCUGCACCCUCAAAGCAUCUGGUCCAGACAAGACAACCCUGACUAGUCAUCCUGAAAGCCCGGUGCUGUCCAAAAGACACAGAUGCCAUGGUACAGGGAUGUGGCACAGUGGGGAGCCAGAGGGGCCAACUCUUCAAGGCUGCAGGACCUUUGCACCUGCUGUGUCCACUGCCUGGCUCCCUGCCUCAGGUCUCCACUUCGGGUCAAACUAUCCCUGUCAUCUUCCUAGACCAUAAACAGCACAUCCCCAGCAGGCUUCUUUCCCUCUGUGAUGACUGUGAUGUCAUUUCCUGUCUUUUCACUGGAAAUCGCCACCUCACAUAGGCAUGUCUGCCUCACUAUUCAAUGUCUGUGUCCCCCAUGAAAACAGAUGCUUUAUCUGCUGUUGAACUAUCAGGAUCUGAAAUGGUGCACUGGCUUCCAGCUGCACUCCUAGCCCUGGAAAAACCAAACCAGCCUGAUCUUACUGGUGACUGUAUAAUCUUAAUCCCUUUAUUUUCAUAUAUUUUGAAAGCAAUCCUAAUUGUCUGUAUUUAAAAUUUCCUUUGUUGCAUGGAAGGUAGCUGUUUAAAUGUCUAAUUUUCUCCUAUCUUCUUAGUUUUCUAGUCAAAAUAAUAGCUUUAAUCACAGUGGGUCUAGAUGGAUUCAAAAAGGAAGAUUUAUCCACUCUUCUUGGUAAUUGUUU